CCUACGGGAGGCAGCAGUGGGGAAUAUUGGACAAUGGGCGAAAGCCUGAUCCAGCAAUGCCGCGUGAGUGAUGAAGGCCUUAGGGUUGUAAAGCUCUUUUACCAGGGAUGAUAAUGACAGUACCUGGAGAAUAAGCUCCGGCUAACUCCGUGCCAGCAGCCGCGGUAAUACGGAGGGAGCUAGCGUUGUUCGGAAUUACUGGGCGUAAAGCGUACGUAGGCGGUGACUCAAGUCAGAGGUGAAAGCCUGGAGCUCAACUCCAGAACUGCCUUUGAAACUAGGUCGCUAGAANCACGGAGAGGUGAGUGGAAUUCCGAGUGUAGAGGUGAAAUUCGUAGAUAUUCGGAAGAACACCAGUGGCGAAGGCGGCUCACUGGACGUGUAUUGACGCUGAGGUACGAAAGCGUGGGGAGCAAACAGGAUUAGAUACCCCGGUANUC
rnacentral:rRNA from 1 species